UACGUAGGGCGCAAGCGUUAUCCGGAAUUAUUGGGCGUAAAGAGCUUGUAGGCGGUUUGUCGCGUCUGCUGUGAAAUCCCGAGGCUCAACCUCGGGUCUGCAGUCGAUACGAGCAAACUAGAGUGUUGCAGGGGAGACUGGAAUUCCUGGUGUAGCGGUGAAAUGCGCAGAUAUCAGGAGGAACACCGGUGGCGAAGGCGGGUCUCUGGGCAACAACUGACGCUGAGGAGCGAAAGCGUGGGGAGCGAACAGG
rnacentral:rRNA from 1 species